GACGAACGCUGGCGGCGUGCCUAAUACAUGCAAGUAGAACGCACAGUUUAUAUCGUAGCUUGCUACACCAUAAACUGUGAGUUGCGAACGGGUGAGUAACGCGUAGGUAACCUGCCUGGUAGCGGGGGAUAACUAUUGGAAACGAUAGCUAAUACCGCAUAAUAUUGAUUAUUGCAUGAUAAUUGAUUGAAAGAUGCUAUUGCAUCACUACCAGAUGGACCUGCGUUGUAUUAGCUAGUAGGUGAGGUAACGGCUCACCUAGGCGACGAUACAUAGCCGACCUGAGAGGGUGAUCGGCCACACUGGGACUGAGACACGGCCCAGACUCCUACGGGAGGCAGCAGUAGGGAAUCUUCGGCAAUGGACGAAAGUCUGACCGAGCAACGCCGCGUGAGUGAAGAAGGGUUUCGGAUCGUAAAGCUCUGUUGUAAGAGAAGAACGGGUGUGAGAGUGGAAAGUUCACACUGUGACGGUAUCUUACCAGAAAGGGACGGCUAACUACGUG
rnacentral:rRNA from 1 species